CAUGUGCUUGGAGAACUCCCUCGUUAUAGAAACCAGGAGAGGAAAAAAGAGCUCCCACAGAAAGCUCCAUGACUCAACACAAUUCCUGUUGCAUUUCUGCACACAGCUGCCCACCGCAGGCACUGUUGAAACUCCAAGAUGUGCAGUGGAAGGACUGGCUAAGAAAACCCGACCCUGAUGGAAACGCCUUCCAAUGAGUAGAACUGAUUCACAUUGGAUCACUGGACUUUGGGUUGGGAUGUCCAAAAGAAGGACUGAUUUCAAAGUAAAAUAAAUGUUCCAAGACUAGGUCACAAAGAAAAGCUUCUCAGCCUUGAAGAAGACAAGGCAUAGGCCCGCGUCCCAGGCUCUGAGAGAGAAACGUCUCAUUUCCUUUGCUUGCAAGUCUGUGUGCCAUCUCUCAACUUCUGCCCUUGGGUUAUCUGUCUGUGUAUUUUCUUCACCCUUCUAGAUUGCCAGCUCCCUGAAUGGAGAUCACAUUGUUGCCUUUGCAUUCACCACAAUGUUAGUCCAGUGCCUGCCACUAACCAGGUCUUCCCUGCUUAUUAAUUGACCAACAGACUUUGUAUUGAAAACACACUGAAAAAGCAUUUCAAAAAUAGUUGACUUUCUCUGACGGGAGUUUUGCUAACUGGGAAGGUGAUGUAGGGUAACUUCUCAGCAGGGUGUAAAUUUUGAGUGCUAGGGAAAGAGCAGCAUGAUUGGAAGAGAGGCACAUUUCACUAGGAUACACUCUGUUAUCUUUGUUUUACAUUUAAAUGGGUCUACAUGAAAUUUGGAUGACACAUUAAGGGUAAUUUCCCCAGCGUGAUUUGGAUUGCUGAUUAGAGAAUCAAGGCCUCCUGGAGUAUUCUGUUUGUGUUACUGAUUGGUUAAGGGCUGUUUCCCAAGUGUGGGGUGAGUUCCGUUUUCCCCUGGAGAAUUAAAGAGCAGCACCCUUCAGGCACAGCCAAAGUGAACUCUCUUCAAAAAGUCUAAGCCUGGCCAGGCGUGGUGGCUCAUGCCUGUAAUCUCAGCAUGUUGGGAGUCCGAGGCAGGCAGACCACCUGAGGUUAGGAGUUCGAGACCAGCCUGGCUAACAUGGUGAAACCCCAUCUGUACUGAAAAUACAAAAAUUAGCCAGGUGUGGUGGCGGGUGCCUGUAAUCCCAGCUACUCGGGAGGUUGAGGCAGGAGAAUCACUUGAACCUGGGAAGCAGAGGUUGCAGUGAGCCAAGAUUGCACCACUGCACUCCAGCCCGGGCGACACAGUGAGACUCAGUCUCAAAAAACAACAAAAAAGCCUCUGAGCUGAAGCCCUUUUCUCUUUCUAAUUAUGCAGGAAGCAAAGAAAUGUUACUAUGUGGUGAAGAAUUAACCUUCUUCAAAAUAAGCCCGCCUUUUGUCCUUGGCUUCUGGAACGUAAUCUCUACUGUCUUUCUUAGCCCGAGGGAUGGGGGUCACAGUGGAUUGUCAGUGCAAUUUAAGGUGGGGACUGGCCACUCCCAUGUAGCCAUAGGGUUGGAGCUGAAAGACCAACAAUGUGACUUUGGGUGGAGGCUUUGGGUCACCCAGUAUCGGUGGCCUGGAGACUAAGAUCAACCAUGUGGCCAGUCAAUCAUUUAUGCCCACGAAAUGGAGCUCCAACAAAAACUGAACCCUGAGGCUUAGGUGAGCUCUCUUGGUUGGUGAUUCUCUCUUGGUUGCUGUAUUGUCACACAUGGAUGCCACCGUGUAUCCUUACUUUGUGGGGAAAAGACAACAGGAGCUCUGCAUUUGGAACCCUUCUGGACUCUGCCCUAUGUGUCUCUUUUUGGCUAAGCUUAACCUGUAACCUUUCCUUAUAAUAAACCAUAAAUGUGACUAUAACAGCUUUUGGUGAGUCCCAUGUUUCUAGGGAAUACCAAAUCAAAGAGUGAUUUUGGGAACCCUCUAAAAUUGCAGUUGUCCUGCAUUUAUGGACAGAACCAAUAUACAUCUUACUUGUAUUGAUUAAUGUCCUAUGUCUCCUUGAAAUGUAUAAAACCAAGCUAUAACCCAGCCACUUUGAGCACAUGUUCUCAGGAUCUCCUGAGGGCUGUGUCAUGGGCCAUUGGUCACUUAUAUGUGGCUCAGAAUAAAUCUCUUCAACUAUUUUAUGAAGUUUCACUCUUUUCAUCAAC
rnacentral:lncRNA from 10 species